ACGAAAAUUAAUUUUCAUCUAAUGCAUUUCGUAUUGUAAAUGUUGAUGUCUUUUCAUAUAAAAUUGGUCAAAAUUUACUAAGUUUGACUUCAAACAAAUUUCAUAUGCAAACUAAAAAGAAACAGAAGGAGCACCGAUGAUGAGAAUAAACGAUGAUUUUAAAAGAAAAGAAUAGAAUAGAACCUAGCAGAGAACCUGUCCGGCCCCAGAUCAUCCAGAGUGUCAUCUUCGUGAACGCCCACUGCUAGGUACUUCACAGAUCCGCACACACUUUGCAAGGCCAAACUGAAGAAAGGUGUUCUCUACCGUGGAUCUACCACUCUUACAAAAAUGCUGACGGAUCUUGCAGUAGAAUUCAGCCACACGACAACAACACGGUUCAGCCACAGGCACACAAGGAGAACUUCUGACUUCUAAGUUCAGGCCAACAAGCAGUUCUAGGAGCUCUGCAGGUGCCAUCAGGAGCAGGGGAGAGGCGGCUGUAGCGACGUAUCCCGGCCGGAUCCGUGCGUGCUGGAGGCCGGGAAGGUGAUCGGAUCUAGAGUCCAUGGAGGAGACUUGCUCGGAUACACGGCCUUGCCGGCCACGGACUCCACAUGAACCGCCCUCCUUUUACCACAUAUAAAUAGGCCUCGAGCCCUCUACCGAAGCAUCCAAUCUUGGGGUCGUACAAUCUCGCCGUUCUACAACUCCGCCGACCGAAGUGCUCCAUACGCCGUCGUACAAUCUCGCCGUUCCACUAACAUCGCCGGACCGCCAGUGCUCCACCUGAGGUACGCCUGGUCUGGCUAAAUUCGGUUCUGUUGUUUUGAAAAAGACAUGAUCUUUCCUGUGUGUAUGCACUCUGCAACCAUAUAUGUCAUCGUUACCGACUGGAGCUGCCGCAAGAUCUUCUGCUUUGUACUCUGAAAGUUUGCUUGAGUUCACUUUUCAAAGCUAGCUACGGUACUGGAUGCUGGAAGGCCAAUCUGGCAUAAAGAGAGUGAAUAAUAUAUGCCAUGUUCUCUAUUACCUGAUCAGAUUGAUGUUGAUCCAUUGACAUGACCUCCGCCGCCAACCAACUCGACAUUAUAUACCUCUGGUUUCUGAAUGUAUGAAUGAAAGAAAAUUUUAUUCGAUGAUGAUAAGCAAUCAGGGGAAUAUGAACAAACAAAAGUUGAUGAAACAUACGACUACCUCCCACUAGAUUAUGAAAAAACAAUUACUGGCGAAGAUAGAUGAAAUAUAUGUCAAACAACAUCAACUGGUGUGCCUGCUAGAUGAAAAGGGGCAGCUAAACGAGUACCCUUACUUACAAGGAAAAGUUCAAUUAUUGAUAUCCAUUAGUAAUGUCAGCAUGACAUGGUAACAUCCAUAUCCAUAAUUUUCAUGUUCUGGGUCCAAUAUAUAUUUAUUAGUAAUUUUACUAAUUAUCUUGAUUAUAGAAUGACCUUCCAAUAAAUAUGAACAACACAUUGCUAUUUAACUGUUGUGAACACAAAAAAAUGUGAGAUUACAAUACUUGACUUAUUGUGUUCGGAGUUUGACCGAGAUGAUCUCACUAUUACGGCUGGUUACUACAUCACUUCUGAUCCUCUAUAUGAAAUGUCAUAAACUGAUCCUUCGCUUAUGUGUAUUAUUUCCGAUGACAUAUUUCAGCUACAUGGACUACAAUAUCAAUUGGACAUUUUUAAAAGUCAUAACUUGAUAAGCCACAACCUGAAAGACUUCGACGUUACUAAAUGGAAGAUCACAAAACAAUUA